rnacentral:lncRNA from 10 species
AUGCAGCCAUUCGCUUUUGCCAUGCCCUGUCCUGUUUACUUCUUAAGAGGUUUAUUUUUGUACUUUUGCAGAAUAAACUUUAGUAAUCUAGAACUGGAAGGUACUAUAUAUGUAUGUGUGUGUAUAUAUAUAUAUAAAAGAAAAACAUAUAUAUAUUUCAAUUACUUGAAAUGUAAAAACUUACCGAAUACAAAUGGAAAAAGUGAUGUGUAUUAUAUCAUAUUGCUUUUUGUCCAUCUUUGUGAUUUAUUUACUCACUUCAUGUUUUUCAUUUACAAAAUUGUCAAGUUAGCCAAAAUAAUUCUUGUUUUCUUAAUUGGGAGAGAAGAGACCUGA